ensembl:lncRNA
CCGGAACGUUGUGUUCAUCCCCGAAAGACGCGGGACUCCUCGAGCUUCCAACUGGGAAAAAGGUGAGGAAAUCGUUUUGCUUUGUGUGUGUGUGUUUUUUUAAGUUUGAUAAAAUAUAAAAUGAAACAAUUAGCAUUAAAUAAUCCCAAAUUGAUACAAAACUUGUGUAUAUUACAUUCGCUUUUAUAAAUAGCUUCAUCAGUUAAUUUUUCUAUAUUCUUUUUCUUUUUUUAAUAAGUAUACACACAUUUCCAGAGCUUUUUGCAGAACAAAAUGUUUAGCUUCAGCAAUAUCAGUCAUGUUGGUCUGAAGAAAACAAAAAUACCGUUGAGAAAUUUGAAGAAAAAAAAGUUAUCCCAGGAUGUCAUUAAUGGCUUUAGAGUAGUAGACGUUGUUUGUUUGUCUUUCUAUCUCAAUCCACUUUAUUUUAAGGAUUCAGUACAUGAGGUCCUUGUACAAAGGGGCCCUCAGUGUUUGCUGUCCAUUCAGGCCCUCUGCAACGUGGUGCUGCAUGUUAAACGGGUCGCUCCGCUGGAGGGGAACAGCACGGACCCCGACCGUUUUGUUUUCAUCCCGUGGAAGAAGAAGAUCAAAUUGAAUAAUGCAUGCACAGAGUUCAUAUUACGUCAUAGUGUGUCUUUUUUCUCACAGGAGACAUUUAACUUGUCACAGAGGGGGAAGCACAGGUGUCACCAGUAACACUUAACAGAGGCUCUGUUCUAUUUCCAUGUAAGUCACGACAAUGUGACCGUGAGCCGUCGUGCAGCUAAAUCGGCCAUCUUUAAUUGGGCCACGGGGACAUGUGUCUUCUGGCGGUGGGGGGUUCCUGCUCACCUGUAGUAAGUUAAAAAAACAAAAACAAACAGGACUUCAGGACUUCUCUCUGGGACCCCUGGGGGCUCCUCUCUGUCCUGCCAUCCAUUUUUUUUUUACUAUCUUUUGGAUUUAUACUUCGCAUUUAACGUGGUAUUUAUUACUUUAAUCGUUUGGAAGACUCAUUUCUGUUUAUUCUAUAUUUAAAUCUCACCUGUGCGACGUUGCUUGUAGAAGAAAGAAAAGGGACGCCACCGCUUUGUCCGUGCGGCACUAAUGUCUCCGCCUGUUAACGCAGUCAAGUGCUGGAGCAACCUACACACACACACACACACACACACACACACACACACACACACACACACACACAGGGAUAAAAAAGACACUUGGCGUCUGCAUUUAAAGCUGUAGCUAAUCUCAAGGCCUUUGGGACACAUUGUGUCGUGGCUGAAUGAGACGGGCCAGGGCCGUCCUGCAGACAGGAUCUGAGUUUUUGAACUUGGCACUUCAGUGCGGCGCACAUACGCUCGGCCCGCAGAAUGCCACCAAAAGCCUAAAUGGCACCAAAGUGAGAUGAGUUUUCAUUCACCCUCUCAACCUAUCGCAGCAGAGCUCGCCGUCGAACCGGGCAAAUUGCUUCGCUUCACAGCGAUUUAUGUGAAAAAAGCCGUCAGUCCAAGUCUCUGCCCGAGCUUCCCGCUGUCGGGGCGUGCCAGCACGCCGCCGUUCCUCAGUGAAGAGGAGUAACAACACUUGAGGCCUUAUUUAUGGGAUAGUCAGGGCGUUCCUGUUGCAACCUGCAUUGUUUUUUGUGCUUUGACUUUAAGCAAAAACACACACUCAUGCACGCACAAAAACUUAACAAGGGGACUGGCCGUUAAUGGAGAAAAGCUGGCAGAGAUUUAAAGGCUUCCAAUAUACGACAUUGAAUGAUCGUGGAUCCCUGAAAAGAGGCUCGAGCCAUCGUUGAAAGAAAAGGAAGCGAGAGCUGAGGGGAAAACGGUCGGUCCGGAAUUGCUACCUCCUCCUCCUCCUCCACCCCCAUUAGUCGUCCUUUUUGCCCAAGAGCCUCUAAUGCCAUCUGUGCUGCCAACGGGGGUUGGAGGGGAGGGGGCGGAUUCUGCCCGUGCCAGGACGCGGACAAAGACCCUUCCGGAUCCCCGGAGCACGGGCACGCUCAGAGGAGCCAUCUUGGGGAGAUGUUGCCGCGACACCUAAAAUGGCAGGCUGGCACACCGAGGACGGGGAACAGGAUCGGCCUCUCUGCGCUCUGAAGGAACCUGCUUGGGCGCGAGGACAUGGACCAAACUCAACGAAAUACUGUCUUCAGAAAGUCUCAACAGAGAUCAUCAGUCACCUAAACGAGGAGAGCAGCCCUGUGUGGCAAAGGACAUGUAGAAAGAAAAGAGCUACUGUACAAGCUGGAAAUGUGCCUGUUAUCCAUGUUCAUGAUAUUGUAUUAAUGUGUGUGAUACAUAUACAUUAUUUUAAAAAUUGCAGAAAACUUGUUCUCACCGAUAUAUCUAAAGUGCAUCUACAUGUUUUAAUUAAUAAUUUAUGAAACUGCUGUUCUCAUAUGUCUGAAUUGAAAUAGGAAUUUAUAAGACUGGAGUGCAUUACUGAAAAAGCUGAUUGUAUUUCUUCUUUGAAUUAAAUCGAUAAUGAAAAUAUUUUCAUCUCUGUGUUACAAUCGUGCUUUUGAGCAAUUAUUUCAGUGAUAAAUUAGGAA